rnacentral:rRNA from 1 species
GACGAACGCUGGCGGCGUGCUUAACGCAUGCAAGUCGAACGAUGAACUUGGAGCUUGCUCUGGGGGAUUAGUGGCGAACGGGUGAGUAACACGUGAGUAACCUGCCCUGGACUCUGGGAUAACUUCGAGAAAUCGGAGCUAAUACCGGAUAGGACCUUGCACCGCAGGGUGUGGGGUGGAAAGUUUUUAGGUUUGGGAUGGACUAGCGGCCUAUCGGGUUGUUGGUGAGGUAAUGGCUCACGAAGGCGUCGACGGGUAGCCGGCCUGAGAGGGUGACCGGCUACACUGGGACUGAGACACGGCCCAGACUCAUAGGGGAGGCAGCAGUGGUGAAUAUUGCACAAUGAGCGCAAGCCUGAUGCGGCAACGCCGCGUGCGGGAUGACGGCCUUCGGGUUGUAAACCGCUUUUAGUAGGGAAGAAGCCUUCGGGUGACGGUACCUGCAGAAAAAGGACCGGCUAACUACGUGCCAGCCGCCGCAGUAACAC